CCUACGGGAGGCAGCAGUAGGGAAUUUUCGUCAAUGGGCGCAAGCCUGAACGAGCGAUGCCGCGUGAGUGAAGAAGGCCUUCGGGUCGUAAAGCUCUGUUGCGGGGGAAAAAAGUCAGCAUCAGGAAAUGGGUGCUGACUGAUGGUGCCCCGCCAGAAAGUCACGGCUAACUACGUGCCAGCAGCCGCGGGAAUACGUAGGUGGCGAGCGUUAUCCGGAAGGAUUGGGCGUAAGGGGUGCGCAGGCGGUCCUGCAAGUCUGGAGUGAAACGCAUGAGCUCAACUCAUGCAUGGCUUGGGAAACUGGAGGACUGGAGAGCAGGAGAGGGCGGUGGAACUCCAUGUGUAGCGGUAAAAUGCGUAGAUAUAUGGAAGAACACCAGUGGCGAAGGCGGCCGCCUGGCCUGUUGCUGACGCUGAGGCACGAAAGCGUGGGGAGCAAAUAGGAUUAGAUACCCCAGUAGUC
rnacentral:rRNA from 1 species